GAUCAUGGCUCAGGAUGAACGCUGGCGGCGUGCCUAACACAUGCAAGUCGAACGAAGCAUACGGACCGGAGAUCGUCGAAGGACCGUAUGACUAGUGGCGGACGGGUGAGUAAUGUAUGAGCAACCUGCCUUUCAGAGGGGGACAACAGUUGGAAACGACUGCUAAUACCGCGUAACGUAUCGUGAGGGCAUCCUCGUGAUACCAAAGGAGCAAUCCGGCUGAAAGAUGGGCUCAUAUCUGAUUAGCUUGUUGGCGGGGUAACGGCCCACCAAGGCGACGAUCAGUAGCCGGACUGAGAGGUUGAACGGCCACAUUGGGACUGAGAUACGGCCCAGACUCCUACGGGAGGCGGCAGUGGGGAAUAUUGGGCAAUGGGCGAAAGCCUCGACCCAGCAACGCCGCGUGAAGGAAGAAGGUCUUCGGAUUGUAAACUUCUUUUAUGAGGGACGAAGGACGUGACGGUACCUCAUGAAUAAGCCACGGCUAACUACGUGCCAGCCGCUGC
rnacentral:rRNA from 1 species